rnacentral:tRNA from 1 species
UCCCCUGUAGCUCAGUUGGUAGAGCGAGCGGCUGUUAACCGCUAGGUCCUUGGUUCGAGUCCAAGUGGGGGAGC